GACGAACGCUGGCGGCGUGCUUAACACAUGCAAGUCGAACGGAAAGGCCUCUUUCGGGGGGUGCUCGAGUGUCGAACGGGUGAGUAACACGUGAGUAACCUGCCCUUGACUUUGGGAUAACUUCAGGAAACUGGGGCUAAUACCGGAUAGGAGCCCCUGCUGCAUGGUGGGGGUUGGAAAGUUUCGGCGGUUGGGGAUGGACUCGCGGCUUAUCUCCUUGUUGGUGGGGUAGUGGCUUACCAAGGCUUUGAAGGGUAGCCGGCCUGGGAGGGUGACCGGCCACAAUGGGAAUGAGAUACGGACCAGACUCCUACGGGAGGCAGCAGGGGGGAAUAUUGCACAAUGGGUGGGAGCCUGAUGCAGCAACGCCGUGUGCGGGAAGACGGCCUUCGGGUUGUAAACCGCUUUCGCUCAGGACGAAGCUGUGUGUGACGGUAGUGGGUAAAGAAGCACCGGCUAACUACGUG
rnacentral:rRNA from 1 species